GGGGAAUUUUGGACAAUGGGCGCAAGCCUGAUCCAGCCAUGCCGCGUGAGUGAAGAAGGCCUUCGGGUUGUAAAGCUCUUUCGCAAGGGAAGAAAACGUGUGGGCUAAUAUCCUGUAUGGAUGACGGUACCGGACUAAGAAGCACCGGCUAACUACGUGCCAGCAGCCGCGGUAAUACGUAGGGUGCGAGCGUUAAUCGGAAUUACUGGGCGUAAAGCGUGCGCAGGCGGUUUUGUAAGACAGGCGUGAAAUCCCCGGGCUCAACCUGGGAACUGCGCUUGUGACUGCAAGACUAGAGUACGGCAGAGGGGGGUGGAAUUCCUGGUGUAGCAGUGAAAUGCGUAGAUAUCAGGAGGAACACCGAUGGCGAAGGCAGCCCCCUGGGCCUGUACUGACGCUCAUGCACGAAAGCGUGGGGAGCAAACA
rnacentral:rRNA from 1 species